rnacentral:lncRNA from 1 species
GGUCAAUUGACCCCUUUAGGAGUUAUUGCCCUUUAUAGUCAAUUUUUAACCAUUUUUCGUAAAUCUUAGUAAUCUUUUACAAAAAUCUUCUCCUCUGAAACUACUAGGCCAAAUUAAUCCAAACUUGGCCACAAUCAUCAUUGGGGUAUCUUGUUUAAAAAAAUGUGUGGCGUGACCCUGCCAACCAACCAAGAUGGCCGCCACGGCUAUUAAUAGAACAUAUGGGUCAAAUGUAGAUUUUGGCUUAUAACUCAAAAACAAAAGCAUUUAGAGCAAAUCUGACAUGAAGUAAAAUUGUUUAUCAGGUCAAGAUCUAUCUGCC